AAGUAGCUGUUACGCUACGUUUGUGUGACCGCUGUACAAGUGUCCGGUCAAGUUCUAAGACGCACUGUUUUGAGUGGGAACCAUUCUAAAGGAGAUGGAGACGGAGAUAUAUAAACGGAAAAAAAGAGGACAUUUUUGAACUUUUACGCUAUAGUCUAGAACGGAACACAGAUAGAAAUCUGGAGACAAGCAUCUGGGAAUAGCAUAUUCAUCUGAGAAAAACUAACGUAUUCAUUAGCCUUAUCAGUAGUAGAAAUUAGGAAUGUUAGUAGGUUUUUUGCUGAAUUAGGGACUAUAAUUUGGAGCAGUGGAACAAUGGGUUCAGAAGCGGGACAUUCGGAGAACGUGCAACAGAGUUCGCGGUUCGUUGCAACGUGGUUGGUGGGAGGGGUGGUGCUAGGGUUAUCGGUGUUGGGAUUGCGAUUUGCUUUGCCGAAGAAGAAGAAGAAGAGACCUAUACGGGUAUAUAUGGAUGGAUGCUUUGAUAUGAUGCAUUACGGCCAUUGCAAUGCUCUCCGACAAGCUCGGGCUCUCGGCGACCAAUUAGUCGUUGGCGUAGUUAGCGAUGCUGAAAUCAUUGCCAAUAAAGGCCCGCCUGUCACUCCUCUUCACGAGAGGAUGAUUAUGGUCGGUGCUGUUAAGUGGGUGGAUGAAGUCAUCUCUGAUGCCCCCUAUGCUAUUACUGAAGAUUUUAUGAGGAAACUAUUUGAUGAGUAUAACAUAGACUAUAUCAUUCAUGGGGAUGACCCUUGUCUUCUUCCCGAUGGUACUGAUGCUUAUGCCCUUGCUAAGAAGGUUGGUCGCUAUAAGCAGAUCAAGCGUACAGAAGGAGUUUCAAGCACUGAUAUAGUCGGUCGAAUGCUUCUUUGUGUGAGAGAGAGGUCCACUGGUGACUCCCCCAGUCAUGCAUCCUUGCAGAGACAAUUUAGCCAUGGACACAGCCAAAAAUCUGAAGAUGGUGGUGCUAGGAGCGAAACACGCGUAUCUCAUUUUCUUCCUACGUCUCGUAGAAUUGUACAAUUUUCCAAUUCAAAGGGAGCUGGACCUGGUGCUCGCAUAGUUUAUAUUGAUGGUGCUUUUGAUCUCUUUCAUGCUGGACAUGUAGAGAUACUAAGGCUUGCUCGAGGACUUGGAGACUUUCUACUUGUUGGCAUUCAUACUGAUCAAACUGUAAGUGCCAAUAGAGGUGCGCACCGCCCAAUUAUGAAUCUUCAUGAAAGGAGCUUAAGUGUUUUGGCCUGCCGCUACGCUGAUGAAGUGAUUAUUGGUGCUCCAUGGGAGGUGUCAAAAGAUAUGAUAACUACCUUCAAUAUCUCUUUAGUUGUUCAUGGAACAGUAGCCGAGGAUAAUGAUUUUCAGAAGGAGAAGGGUAACCCAUAUGCUGUACCAAUUAGCAUGGACAUUUUUAAAAUAUUGGAUAGUCCUUUAGAUAUUACAACGAGCACAAUAAUAAGGAGAAUUGUGUCAAAUCAUGAGGCAUACCAGAAACGGAAUGAGAAAAAAGCAGCUAGUGAGAGGAGGUACUAUGAGGGAAAGAGUUAUGUCUCCGGUGAUUAGUUGACUUACAGAAUCAAGAGUUAUGUCUCUGGUGAUUAGUUGACUUACAUAAUCAAGAUGAUAAGUUGGUGGGGCCAGAUGCUUCAGAAGAUGUAACUUGUGAUUCUGCCCCCCUCGCUCUCUCCCUCCCUUUUUUUUGCCUUUUUUGCCUUUUGCUUUUCAACCUUUUAGUAGGUUCCUGCGUCAAGCUGCACGCUAGUGCACAUGACGUUCUCUAGUUUAACCGAAGCAAUUUUUUGGCCAAAAACAUAAAAGAUAGAAGUGAAAUAUGUCAUCUUGACGUUGAGCCUUCAGUGUAUGCAAGUGGACUACUUGCUCUGAUUUUUCUUUUUGCAUGAAA